rnacentral:rRNA from 1 species
AUUGAACGCUGGCGGCGUGCUUAACACAUGCAAGUCGAUCGGUAACAGGUGUAGCAAUACAUGCUGACGAGAGGCGGACGGGUGAGUAAUGCUUGGGAAUCUGCCUAUUAGUGGGGGACAACCCGGGGAAACUCGGGCUAAUACCGCAUACGCUCUACGGAGGAAAGCCGGGGACCGCAAGGCCUGGCGCUAAUAGAUGAGCCCAAGUCGGAUUAGCUAGUUGGUAGGGUAACGGCCUACCAAGGCGACAAUCCGUAGCUGGUCUGAGAGGACGACCAGCCACACCGGAACUGAGACACGGUCCGGACUCCUACGGGAGGCAGCAGUGGGGAAUAUUGGACAAUGGGGGCAACCCUGAUCCAGCGACGCCGCGUGGGUGAAGAAGGCCUGCGGGUUGUAAAGCCCUUU